AGACUCCUACGGGAGGCAGCAGUGGGGAAUAUUGGACAAUGGGGGCAACCCUGAUCCAGCAAUGCCGCGUGAGUGAUGAAGGCCUUAGGGUUGUAAAGCUCUUUCGCACGCGACGAUGAUGACGGUAGCGUGAGAAGAAGCCCCGGCUAACUUCGUGCCAGCAGCCGCGGUAAUACGAAGGGGGCGAGCGUUGUUCGGAAUUACUGGGCGUAAAGGGCGCGUAGGCGGCCCGAUCAGUCAGAUGUGAAAGCCCCGGGCUCAACCUGGGAACUGCAUUUGAUACUGUCGGGCUUGAGUUCCGGAGAGGAUGGUGGAAUUCCCAGUGUAGAGGUGAAAUUCGUAGAUAUUGGGAAGAACACCGGUGGCGAAGGCGGCCAUCUGGACGGACACUGACGCUGAGGCGCGAAAGCGUGGGGAGCA
rnacentral:rRNA from 1 species